rnacentral:rRNA from 1 species
UACGUAGGGGGCAAGCGUUGUCCGGAUUUAUUGGGCGUAAAGAGCGUGUAGGCGGCCAGGCAGGUCCGCUGUUAAAUCUCGAGGCUUAACCUCGAGAGGUCGGUGGAAACCAUCUGGCUAGAGUCCGGAAGAGGAGAGUGGAAUUCCUGGUGUAGCGGUGAAAUGCGCAGAUAUCGGGAAGAACACCCGGGGGGAAGGCGGCUCUCUGGGACGGUACUGACGCUGAGACGCGAAAGCGUGGGGAGCGAACAGG